rnacentral:rRNA from 1 species
GAGUUUGAUUCUGGCUCAGGACGAACGCUGGCGGCGUGCUUAACACAUGCAAGUCGAACGAUGAAGCCUAGCUUGCUGGGUGGAUUAGUGGCGAACGGGUGAGUAACACGUGAGUAACCUGCCCCUUACUCUGGGAUAAGCGCUGGAAACGGCGUCUAAUACUGGAUAUUACCUUUCAUCGCAUGGUGUUUGGUGGAAAGAUUUCUCGGUUUGGGAUGGACUCGCGGCCUAUCAGCUUGAUGGUGAGGUAGUGGCUCACCAUGGCGACGACGGGUAGCCGGCCUGAGAGGGUGACCGGCCACACUGGGACUGAGACACGGCCCAGACUCCUACGGGAGGCAGCAGUGGGGAAUAUUGCACAAUGGGCGCAAGCCUGAUGCAGCAACGCCGCGUGAGGGAUGACGGCCUUCGGGUUGUAAACCUCUUUUAGUAGGAAAGAAGCGUAAGUGACGNACCUACAGAAAAAGCACCGG